rnacentral:rRNA from 1 species
CUCAGAACGAACGCUGGCGGCAGGCCUAACACAUGCAAGUCGAGCGCACCCCUUCGGGGGCGAGCGGCGGACGGGUUAGUAACGCGUGGGAACAUACCCUUUACUACGGAAUAGCCUCGGGAAACUGAGAGUAAUACCGUAUGUGCCCUUCGGGGGAAAGAUUUAUCGGUAAAGGAUUGGCCCGCGUUAGAUUAGAUAGUUGGUGGGGUAAUGGCCUACCAAGUCUACGAUCUAUAGCUGGUUUUAGAGGAUGAUCAGCAACACUGGGACUGAGACACGGCCCAGACUCCUACGGGAGGCAGCAGUGGGGAAUCUUAGACAAUGGGCGCAAGCCUGAUCUAGCCAUGCCGCGUGUGUGAUGAAGGCCUUAGGGUCGUAAAGCACUUUCGCCAGAGAUGAUAAUGACAGUAUCUGGUAAAGAAACCCCGGCUAACUCCGUGCCAGCAGCCGCGGUAAUACGGAGGGGGUUAGCGUUGUUCGGAAUUACUGGGCGUAAAGCGUACGUAGGCGGAUCAGAAAGUAUGGGGUGAAAUCCCAGGGCUCAACCCUGGAACUGCCUCAUAAACUCCUGGUCUUGAGUUCGAGAGAGGUGAGUGGAAUUCCAAGUGUAGAGGUGAAAUUCGUAGAUAUUUGGAGGAACACCAGUGGCGAAGGCGGCUCACUGGCUCGAUACUGACGCUGAGGUACGAAAGUGUGGGGAGCAAACAGGAUUAGAUACCCUGGUAGUCCACACCGUAAACGAUGAAUGCCAGUCGUCGGGCAGUAUACUGUUCGGUGACACACCUAACGGAUUAAGCAUC